AUGUGGGGUCUGAUCGCAGGCAGCCUCAGCUGCCUCUCCGCACCUCCGGCUUCUCACGCCCGAGCACGGCCUCCUCAGCGGUCCCCUGGGCCCCUCUUCCUCCUGCCACCCCCUGCCUUGGGCCACCUGCGUGGAAAACCGGGGCAAGACCUGGGCAACGGAGACGGGGCCACCGGAAAGGAGCUGUUAACACCAAUUUAUGAGCCCAGUGGGAUGACAGAGAAAGGUGCUUUUCCUCCCGGGAUCUGGACACUACACACCACCGAAGAUGAUCUGAAAACAAAACCUGUGCUUGUUUUCAUAUGUUUUCUUACUGUUGUCGAAGUGAGGAAAGCAAAGAUAUGUUCUUAAACACUCCCUCCACCUCACCCAAGAUACACAGCAACUCAUGAGCUGAGAAUGUGAGCGAGCAGAAGAAGGAUGCUCUCUAAAACGACAGAAAGAAAAACAAGAAAAAUGGCAGGGAGAGGGGGAGGGAGGCAAAUUCAGAAGAACGCUACCUCGAAGGAUCAUUCAGAACGAACCACUUUGCCCGUGUUUUUCAGGCUGGACUCUCAAGCUGACGUUUUCCUCCUGCAAACAUACCACGCUGUCUGUCAAAAUGCUUUUUGGCCCAGAAAUGCUGCCCAGCUCUGAUAGUGCUACCGCUGAUGAGCUAUCAGGCGAGGACGACUGCCUUGCACGGCUGUCGGGAGGGAAGCGAGCAGAAACGCUCAUCGCUGGGAAGCGCACCUGGCCGAGGAGCGCGCCUCCUCCCCCUGACAGUGCCUGGGCGCCAACGCCGAUAAAUCUGCCGCCGACACGAGCAUCGGGAAUGCUUUGGAGACAGACAGCUCCUCUGUUUCGUUCCCGUGCCUGACAAAUGACAGCGCAUGGAAUCACAAGAACAAUAAAGACUGAAUCUUAUCUUAAUAGUCUUUCA
rnacentral:lncRNA from 1 species